rnacentral:lncRNA from 1 species
AAUCCCAAGUCUAAAGCAUCUUCAGUUUUCAUAGUUUCUCUAUCAAAAUCAGCACUAACAAGUGAAUCUGAAGUAGAAUCAAGAAUAUCUGAAUGCAUGAACAACUCAGGCAAAUCAAGUGGGAUUUCAAGUUUAGAGAAAACCUGGGUUUAGUCAUGAUUCAUCUCACCAAUAAAAGCAGAAUGAUCCACUGCAUCCUCAGGCGCAAGAGCAGGGACAUAGGAGUGUAGGACAGUAGAUGGUGCAAUAGUAGGCUCAUGACUCUGCUCCUCAUCCCCUAUGUGGGUGACACUGUCAUCAUCAGUAAUCUGAACAGUCUGAAUUGGAGGUCCCUCUAAAACACGAGAUUGUUCCUCAAUGGCCUGCCUGGCUAUCUGCCCCCACAACUCAUUCAAUGUUGGCUAAGAAGAAGUAGAAGAUUUGGAAGGUGGUCGGGCAGAUGCCUCUUGCUGUUCCCGUUUCCUCUGAUUUUUCUGUUGUGGCUGCCUGUUAUUAUAGAUGUUGGUAGCAUAAGCUUGAGGCUCAUCAUGAGAUACAGGGUGCUCCGAAGAAGGACAAGCAUCCGUAUAGUGGUCACUGGAAGAACAUAAAGCACACAACCGUGCAACAGAUGCAGAUGGAGGUGCUAUUCUCUAGUUGGAUGCCAGCUGUGUCACCAAACUCUCAAGAGAAUCAAGCUUGCCUUCCAAUUUCCUACCAACAACUGAUAAAGAAUGGGCAGGCUCAUGAGACUGCAGUUGUUGUGGUUUCUGAACAGGUGGAGAAGGCAUACAAUGAGUCUGGAAUGAUGGUUCCUGAUAUUGAUGUUGUGAAGUACCAUACCAUCCCAAGUUAGGAUUAGCCCUCCCAGGAUCGUCGCUAUAACCAUUCCGCACAGGGGAGAAUUUGUCAAGAAACUGAUGCUCAGGAUCUUCCCAACAGGUGACGGAUCCAGGAGUAAUACAACA